rfam:Picea glauca, whole genome shotgun sequence.
UUCAUAUGAGAAAUCCGAUAAAAUUGGAACGAUACAGAGAAGAUUAGCAUGGCCCCUGUGCAAGGAUGACACACAAAUCGAGAAAUGGUCCAAAUUUUU